rnacentral:rRNA from 1 species
GACGAACGCUGGCGGCGUGCCUAAUACAUGCAAGUCGAGCGAAGUUUUUCUGGUGCUUGCACCGGAAAAACUUAGCGGCGAACGGGUGAGUAACACGUAAAGAACCUGCCUCAUAGACUGGGACAACUAUUGGAAACGAUAGCUAAUACCGGAUAACAGCAUUAACUGCAUGGUUGAUGUUUAAAAGUUGGUUUUGCUAACACUAUGAGAUGGCUUUGCGGUGCAUUAGCUAGUUGGUGGGGUAAAGGCCUACCAAGGCGACGAUGCAUAGCCGACCUGAGAGGGUGAUCGGCCACACUGGGACUGAGACACGGCCCAGACUCCUACGGGAGGCAGCAGUAGGGAAUCUUCCGCAAUGGGCGAAAGCCUGACGGAGCAACGCCGCGUGAGUGAAGAAGGAUUUCGGUUCGUAAAGCUCUGUUGUUAGGGAAGAAUGAUUGUGUAGUAACUAUACACAGUAGAGACGGUACCUGACCAGAAAGCCACGGCUAACUACGUG